ACAAUAUUUAUGAGUGCAGAUGUUUUAAUGGUACAUCAUUUAUCGUUGAUUAACGAUAUGCAUAUUUUAGGAUUAGAAUAAUUGUUACAUUGGUACAGCGUAAUAUUAGUCUUUGAUAUACAGAGUAAUGGCGACUAAUUGGACUAUAUGUGGCACAUGUGAUUUUCGCCAUAUAACUAAACCAUCAGUAUUUUGGUGUUCCGAGUGUGACGAAGGCCUAUGUCAUGAGUGCACUGAACAUCACAGCAUCUCCAAGGCAACAAGGGAACAUAGUACAGUUUCUCUCGAUGAAUACAACAAAUUACCAUCAACAAUUUUAGAAAUAACACAAAGAUGCAAAGACCACAAUGAAAAAAUUCAAAUAUACUGUAAUCAACAUGAUUGUCCAUGUUGUAAAAAGUGCAUUGUGGAGACUCACAACGAGUGCAAAGAAUUUGUUGAUAUUGACGAUGUUAUAAAAGAUGUUAAAUCAUCAACUGCGUUCGUGGAUAUCGAACACACAUUGGCAGAAAUUUCCGAAAAUAUUAAAAGAAUUCAAAAAAAGAUCGUGAAGAGAAUCUGACCGCAAUUAAGAAAACAAGAGAAAAAGUCGAGUCUGAAAUAAAAAUGACAACAUUAAAGAUUGUGAGCUAUCUUGACAAACUCCAAGAAGAUAUUUUGAGUGAACUGAGGGAAACAGAGGAAUCGGAAAGCAAACUUAUACAGAAAUUGUUAACAUCACUACAACAAACGGAAAAGGACGUCACUGAAUACCAACAUAACAUUUCGAAAAUAAAACAACAUGCAUCAGACCUUCAGGCAUUCUUGGUCCUUAAACAAAUAGAACAUGACGUAGAAGAAAAAGAUAAAUUCAUUCAAACAUUAGUGAAGAACGAAGAAUUAAAUCAUGCUUCUCUGUCAUGGAAGAUAAGCUCUGGCGUUCAGAAUUUUCAAUCAAGUUUAGCAACGUUCGGCAAUAUUGUUGUCGAGUCCAAAUCUAGUGGCAUAACUAUUGCUAGGAGAAAAGACAAAGAAGCUCAGAUAAUGGUUAUGGCACGGUCGCCUAUAUUUUUAGACAAAAUAGAACUUAAAUCAAAGAAAACUGUUUCUACGAAAGGCAAUCACAUAACUGGAUGUUCCCUGUUUUCAAAUGGUAAAAUGAUUUUUUUCGAGUUAUGAAGAUAAGAAGGUUUAUGUUCUUACAACUGAAAGAUCAAAACCGUACAAGAUUACAUUCGAAUUUCAAACAUUUGAUGUAGAACAGAUAGACGGAAGUUUAUUUGCUAUCACCACUGGCUAUGAAGGUGGUAGAAUCAUACUUAGGGACCUACUAGAAAGGAAAACUAAGAAAAUCAUAGACGUUGAUGUAUCAAAUGAUGGAAUAACUGUGAGUGGCGAUUGGCUGUAUUUUAGUGCAAGGAAGAACGGCUUGAUGCGAGUAAGCAUGAUAGAUGGAUCGAUUUGUGAGGUUGUUUAUAAGCCAAUGUGUGGAUGUGCUUAUAUAGCUAUAUUCGGCAACUACAUUUACUUCAAAAACAAAUCGAAGAACACUGUGACGUGCAGCAAUCUGGAGGGGAACGUCAAGUGGAUAUUUGAAGAUGAAAGUAUUUUGUCUUUUCCGCUGGGUAUCUUUGUGGAUAAAUAUGGCAACAUUUAUGUAGUUGGAAACGAAUGUUCAACUGUUGUUGUUAUCUCGCCGGAUGGAAAACAAAGCAAAGUUAUAUUAUCGUCUGCAGAUGGACUUGAUUAUCCUCAAGUUUUACAUUAUAACCGAGAAAAUAACCAGCUGCUAGUUGCAAACCAAGGUGGACAUGCGUUUCUUUUCGAUGUAACAUUCAAGUGAACUAUCAUACUUUACAUGCUCUCAUAUCUUAGUGUAAUUGUUUUUGUGCAAUUAUUUUGUCUGUUGCUUUCUAUGCUUUUAUUCAUUUGGAAUUUCCAAUUCAAUGACUAUAAACUUUGUCAAUUUUAAUAAAUUUUGUUUUGAUUUGGUUCUAAUUGUAUCAUUUGUAUGGCACAUUUCAAUAAAUCAUUUAAUUUUU